rnacentral:rRNA from 1 species
UACGUAGGGCGCAAGCGUUAUCCGGAAUUAUUGGGCGUAAAGAGCUCGUAGGCGGUUUGUCGCGUCUGCCGUGAAAGUCCGGGGCUCAACUCCGGAUCUGCGGUGGGUACGGGCAGACUAGAGGUAUGCAGGGGAGAACGGAAUUCCUGGUGUAGCGGUGAAAUGCGCAGAUAUCAGGAGGAACACCGGUGGCGAAGGCGGUUCUCUGGACAGUUCCUGACACUGAGACACGAAGGCCAGGGGAGCAAACGGG